rnacentral:lncRNA from 1 species
CUCCUUUGUGCCCAGCACUCGGUGCCAGCAUGCGUCCACCCUGCGUGUCCACUGUGGGAAGCAGCCCAGCCUGGGACUCUGGAGGGCGCAGCGGGACACGUGGGCAGGGUGUGUGGGGCCCCACCCCAGCCCGAGCCCUGUGUUCUGUUUAUUCCCAGGGCGGCCUGAAGGGGCAGAAAGGGGAGCCAGGUGUUCCGGGCCCACCUGGCCGGGCAGGCCCCCCAGGAUCCCCAUGCCUACCUGGUCCCCCGGGUCUCCCGUGCCCAGUGAGUCCCCUGGGUCCUGCAGGCCCAGCGUUGCAAACUGUCCCCGG